UGGAGAUGACAGAACAAUGCCCGGAAUAUGACAGAAGAAUUGAAGAGGAAGAGAAGACAAGAUAUGAAACUAAGGAGCAGAGGAAGAACGCCCAAAAAGAGGCUAGACUAGCUUUGGAAGAAGCUGAAAGAAAAACACAGCUUUUAAUCAGGCGAAAAGCAGCUCUGGAGCAACACUUGCAGUUGCAGCAAGGGCUUCUAAUAGAAACUACUGGACUAGAACACACUCAAGAUAUUUCUC